rnacentral:rRNA from 1 species
GACAACCAGGAUGUUGGCUUAGAAGCAGCCACCAUUGAAAGAGUGCGUAAUAGCUCACUGGUCGAGUGACCCCGCGCCGAAAAUGUACCGGGGCUAAACAUAUUACCGAAACUGUGGAUGAACCUCUAAAGAGGUUCAUGGUAGGAGAGCGUUCUAAGGGCGGUGAAGUCAGACCGGAAGGACUGGUGGAGCGCUUAGAAGUGAGAAUGCCGGUAUGAGUAGCGAAAGAAGGG